UACGUAGGCAGCGAGCGUUGUUCGGAGUUACUGGGCGUAAAGGGUGUGUAGGCGGUUGUUUAAGUUUGGUGUGAAAUCUCCCGGCUCAACUGGGAGGGUGCGCCGAAUACUGAAUGACUAGAGUGCGGGAGAGGAAAGUGGAAUUCCUGGUGUAGCGGUGAAAUGCGUAGAUAUCAGGAGGAACACCGGUGGUGUAGACGGCUUUCUGGACCGUAACUGACGCUGAGACGCGAAAGCGUGGGGAGCAAACAGG
rnacentral:rRNA from 1 species